rnacentral:miRNA from 1 species
UGCCUGGUCCAUGAGGCUGUCACUAUGAAUGGUCUCCUGGAUGUCUUAUCCAACCUUACGGUGAGUACAGCUGGCACAGACAGGCAGAUCAUGAAGACCC